GGUUAUCAAAAAAGCACUAUUUUUAAUUUACAUCCUAAAUUUUACCUUUAAGUAAAAAGGCUUAAAUUUCAAUCAAAGACAAGAAGACCCUGUAAAUCUUAACAUCUUAUUAAUUUAACACCUAAAAAAAUGUUCAGCUGGGGCGGCAAAAAAAUAAACAUUUUUAAAUAUUAAUAAUAAUUAUAAUACCUAGAACUUCUAAAAUUUAAUCAAGAUACCUCAGGGAUAACAGCGUAAUCUUUCUAAAAAGACCUUAUUAACAGAAAUGUUUACGACCUCGAUGUUGGAUUAAUAACCCUUUCCUGUGCAAAAGCAAGAAAAGGAGGUCUGUUCGACCUUUAAUUAUUUCCA
rnacentral:rRNA from 1 species